GAGUUUACCUACAGAGUUUCCCACUUUAGUCUGAGUUUCCCACUUCAGAGCUGACUUAAUUGUGUCACUUUGAUAAUUUUUUUUUUAAUUUAAGUAUUAGCAUUAUCGAUUGUAACAGAUAUUAUAGUUAAAUGUCUUUGGCUUCUGCUGAGCAUAACCAUCUGCAGCAGCAAGCCAAAAUAAUAAAGAUCUUUUCAAGUAAAUUAAUUUCUAUACACUAGAGGUUAUCCUGCAUUGCAACUGGCAGUUAAACAGACCUGGUGAUAAAGAUGAGUGUGUCUUGAGACUAUAUAGUAAAAUAACUAUGUUUAUCCAAAGCUAAAAAGCAGCAGUGGUAGCUCCUUUCCUCUGUCCACAGUCCACAGUGUAAAUUGCUACAGAUAAAACUGUCUCACUAAUGCAAUUCAUGCUUUUAAUCACGGUAGCUUUGAAAACAUACUGGAUAAUACAAUGGCAUAGGUAGCAAUACAAAACAGUUAAUCUGCUUAAUCUAUUUCAAUUUUAAAGCAAUACUGCAAGUGCGAACUAAUGAGAAAUAUCAAAACAGAAGCCAAAUAUUAACAUCCAUAUUUGUCAAACAUUUUUCCUUUUAAGGCUUUUUUUUUUUUCUCCCCAAAGGCAAUGAGAAACAACAGAGGUAGUACUAGGGGACAAAUGCAAGAUCUACUGCAUUUCAUUUAAUCAAGACAAAUGUAAGUACUCUUUCUCAAUACAGCAAAGUACUUUCUAAAAUAAACAGCUAAUGCUAAAACACUGCUAGGCUUUAAUACAUCAUUUAUUUUAGAUAAGGUAGUAAACUACAGAUUUUUACUAUGUUUUCAUUUUUCAUAUAUAACAGAGCAUGGUUUCACUUACCAGAUCCUCAAACUACUAAGAGGAGAGAUCCGCUGACUUAUGAUUCCACUACUUUUGAGGAUCUGGGCCUAAGUAUAACUUGUUUAAUCAUUCCAUCUGAUGAUGGACAUCAAAUAUGUUAUACAGGUUGGUUUUUGUUUUUUACACCAAACGGAACACUACUUUACAGGAAGUCAGUACACAUUAUUUAUGCUAUAGCAUUUGUCAUCUGUAAAGCAUGACUAAAAAUGUCUGACUGUUACAAAGGCAAUUUUUAGUCCCCUUCAGAAGUAUACUCUUAAAUUCCAGACUAAUGAAAAUCACUGUAGAACAGUGCAGAAAGGCUUUAAGUUCUUUUGGGCAAUACAACACGAGUACAAGCAGCGGCAAUCUUGCUAACUCAUGCACUUAGACAGUCCUGUGAUGCUCAAAUUGCAAGUACCAGACUGCUCAGAGUGACCCUAGCAGGCUCUUAGCUAGAUUUCCUUUCAAAACCUGAGCUGAAAAGCAGAUAACAUGAGCACAUAACCUUCGCUCCAAGCCAGCCAAUGGGGGGAGUGGGACCAUGCCUAUAAAAAUAAUUUGCGUAUUUAGCCAAGUUUCUGUCAGUAGACCAAAAGCCAAAACUCAGGUAAAUAUAGGCACACUUAAUGAGGUAAGAGCGAGUACUGAAUUCUGAAGACUGCACACAAUUUGUUGUGUACUUGCAAGGAAAUGCUAGACUGAAGGAUUUCCUCCUUCUAUAAAGUUUAUCUAUUGCCACAGGAUACCCAUACAUCUUGUACAUUAAAUCUGUGCACAAUUCCAACAGCCUGAACACCUAAUUCUAGUAAGUAAAACUGCCCCCUUCAUUACAUGACACCAACUGCUUCUGUAUUAUUUUUGGAUCAAACUUGAUAGGCUUUAUGUUCCUUACCUGUAGAAUUACUUACCUCAUCGUGCAUCAAAAUAAUAUGAACAAGAGUUGUCUUAAUAGAUCUAUUUCUGAUAAGAAAGUUAAAGACAGUGCACAGUAAAUAAACCGUAUUUUAAUGUGUUACAAAAGGAAUUAAGUCAGGCUACCUCUCCAAACAGAUGUCCAAUCCUACUAGGUUUGACAAAGAUUUCCUUUAGAUAGCUUGAGAUGAAACAGCUUUUCACCUUUUUCUUUCUCUGCAUCUGUUUUGUAACACAAAUACCAUAUACAUUCAUGGUUAAUUUUUUUCACAUAGAGGCAGUCUGCACAAAGCCCAUAUCUUACAAAAGCUGUUACGGCUGGUGAAUCAUAUCUGUAAGAGAUCACUUGCAUUUGACUGUGUAUCAUAUCACCAAAAUAAUAUACAAAAAUCAGUUCAAGAAAAUUACUUCAGUAACAACCAAGAGACAGGAGGACAAGAAAGUGAGCAAGAGCAGUAGUGUGUCAAACUUUGAGCUAAAGCACAAAGCAAAAAAAUUGUUUUUAAAUUUGCCAGGUAUUCUCGUAAUGAGAAAUGUAAAAAGACUGAAAACAUCUCAUUCUGACUGCCCUUUCUUUGUUUUUUGGUGUUUUUGUUGUUAAACAAAUGGCCUGUUGUAUAGUUACAAAUGCUGUGUAAGACAAUACCUUCUUUGUACUGGAAAACCAACAACCAGAAGGAUGCAAUAGAGUUUCUAAGCAUCUCUAAAUUUGAAAUGUGAUUUUUUUUAGAUGCGGAAAAAUCUUUGUAAUUCAUUUUGUUAGAUCAUAACUCAAAGUACAACAACAUCUAGACCUGUUUUUAAAGGAGCUUUCUUUCCUGAUACAUCUUUGAACAUAAUUACUCCUUGCAAGUUCAGUACAUUCACAAAAUAGCUCAAUUAAGAACAGUAUCACCAAUUAAUUGACUACUGGAAAGAGACAAAAUUUACCAAACAUACAGAAAUAUUAAUUUUACCAUAGCAAUUAUGCAUAUCAAAAAAUGACACCUGUAGUUAAUUUUUAAAGAUACAAAAAAAAAAAGAGAAAAACCUGAAUUACAGAAAAGAAAGUCAUAUUUAUUUAAUGAAAAAACUAGAAGUUAAUAAAAAUUAGCAAAUACACAAAAAAUAUACACAAACAGCAGCAAUACUAUGUAGUGACUUACAAAGGAGGGGGGGAGGAGGGGCGCGGGAAGCAGCGGCCAAAGCCCAAACCGCUCAACAUGGCUUGUCAGUCAAAGGGGGAGGAAAAGAACACAAACAAAAACACGAAACAGUAUCCUUUUCAACAGUACAAUCAAUCUACAAACAAGUUUUUAGAAUUAUUUUACAACAUUUCCUGUAGAAUCAAUUCUUAAUACAAAAGAUGCCCAUUUUGGGUGUAUAUAUAUUUUCAGUGGUUUACUGUUGACUUAUUUUAAAUAUAUUAGUGUUACUACAUGCAACUGCUUCCUGUAAUUUAACAGCCUUUCCUUUAUUUACCUUCAUAUAUGUCUAUCCUCCAUCUACCAAAUAAUUUGUCUGACAGUGAACGAUGGUUACCCUAGUUUCUGCUAAAUUAAAUGCAAUGGUUUUAAACACUGGCCUGAAGAGGUUUGAUUGCCAUUUCAACACAUCGAUAUAGUAACGUUGAUGCCUAAAUUGCCAUUUUCUGCAAAGAGCUGUGCAAUGCUGGUGUCAAAGACUAGACAGUCACUAUUCAUAAUGGCUGUUGCAAUUCCCUCAUGGAUAGAUCGAGGAGUUGCUUCCCAAGUCAGUCGCCGCCUAUGACCAUUUAACUCAAGUCGAUAAGCAAAGUUUUCUGCUUGCUUCCGUGUUCCUAUCAGCUGUACAAUCGCAAAGAACUGCUGGUGACCAUCAUAUUUUUCCUGUUUCUCCAAUACUAACAUGAAAUGAAAGCCAAAACAAGACUGCAUCAUAACCCAGUCAACAGCACCAGGAAGAUUAAUGUCUGUCGCAAGGAACACUAUAUCUUCUCCCUGAAGUGUUGUAAUUGACUUAUGUUGAUGCAUCAGAUGUGGCAUUACAGCAUCCAGAGAACCUUGCCAUUUACACGAAGCACCAGGACAUGGACAGGAAUAAGGCCUAAACUCACAUAGCUCCUCAUGGUCUGCUUUUUCUGUGUGUGGCAGAGUUAUCUCACAUCCAGAAGAGGCAUAUUUACAUGGGAACAGUACAGAAUUGGCAACUUUCUCCAUAGCCAGGUUACGAAUGGAGCCCAGCGGGCCUCGGCAAGUUGGACAGCACGUAAGUUUGGGGCGACAGUUGCUACAGACAAGGUGGCCACUCUGACACUGAAGAAUUGGUGGCAGCACAUAGUCAAAACAGACAGGACACUCAAAGAGACUAGCCAAGUCAUUAUUGGAAGCUGUAGUGCCCGUCAGCGCAGGCACCCUCUGUGAUGGCGUACACUUUGAAGUACCUGUAGGUAGUGCUGUAGCAGUCUGACGGCUCAUUUCUGUGCGCGCUGGGCCGGGAGGUCCUCGCUCAGACGGCCUGGCUCCCCGAUGGCGCGGGCUGCGGGACGACGUGCCGCGCGGCGCUCGGCGAGACGCUGGGUGCCCGGCCCGACCCGCCCGCGCGCUCCCUGCCUCGCUCCCUCCCGCCUGCCGGCCGAGGAGACACCACCACGGGGGCGCGCCGGCUGCGGCGGAGCUCUCCUGCCUGCCACGCGCGCUCCCGAGGCGGGCGGGCGGCGGCGGCGCGCG
rnacentral:lncRNA from 1 species